GAAGUGUGUCAAUGAUGAAGGUGAAUGUCAGCUAACACCAAUGCGAAUGCCGCUUCCACUUGAGAAGAGCAAAUACUGCUGUGGUUAGAACUACAAAUUCCAAGAAUGCCACUUCUAAGCUCCAAGACAACAGGUGGAGAAGAGUAGCAAGGCAGGGGAAAGUACUGAAGAUAGAUGGGAACUGAAGAAACCUGACACAUCCUGGAGCACACCUACCACAGCAGGAAGAACUCGGGCAAAAAGUGCUCUACAAAUGCCCCAAGAUCACCUAGGUGUUUUGCAUCAGCCAGUACUAUCUGCUUUAGUCACACAAACAGAG